AUUGAACGCUGGCGGCAGGCCUAACACAUGCAAGUCGAGCGGAUGAAGGGAGCUUGCUCCUGGAUUCAGCGGCGGACGGGUUAGUAAUGCCUAGGAAUCUGCCUGGUAGUGGGGGAUAACGUCCGGAAACGGGCGCUAAUACCGCAUACUUCCUGAGGGAGAAAGUGGGGGAUCUUCGGACCUCACGCUAUCAGAUGAGCCUAGGUCGGAUUAGCUAGUUGGUGGGGUAAAGGCCUACCAAGGCGACGAUCCGUAACUGGUCUGAGAGGAUGAUCAGUCACACUGGAAGGGAGACACGGUCCAGACUCCUACGGGAGGCAGCUGUGGGGAAUAGUGGACAAUGGGCGAAAGCAUGAUCCAGCCAUGCCGCGGGUGUGAGGAAGGUCUUCGGAGUGGAAAGCACGUUAGGGUGGGAGGAAGGGAAGGAAGUUAAUACCGUGAUGGUGAGACGGUACCAACAGAAUAAGCACCGGCUAACUUCGUG
rnacentral:rRNA from 1 species